rnacentral:rRNA from 1 species
UGUAGCAAUACCUGGUGGCGACCGGCAAACGGGUGCGGAACACGUACAGAACCUACCUUUGUCUGGGGCAUAGCCCGGAGAAAUCCGGAUUAACUCCCCAUAAUAUAGCUGAGUGGCAUCACUUGACUAUUAAAAAUUUAUUGGACAGAGAUGGCUGUGCGUCCCAUUAGCUAGUUGGUAGGGUAACGGCCUACCAAGGCAACGAUGGGUAGCUGGUGUGAGAGCACGACCAGCCACACGGGCACUGAGACACGGGCCCGACUCCUACGGGAGGCAGCAGUGAGGAAUAUUGGUCAAUGGACGCAAGUCUGAACCAGCCAUGCCGCGUGAAGGAUGAAGGCCUUCUGGGUUGUAAACUUCUUUUAUGGGGGAAGAAAACUACGGUUUCUACUGUAGCCGACGGUACCCUAGGAAUAAGCACCGGCUAACUCCGUGCCAGCAGCCGCGGUAAUACGGAGGGUGCAAGCGUUAUCCGGAUUUACUGGGUUUAAAGGGUGUGUAGGCGGGCUAUUAAGUCAGUGGUGAAAUCUCCGGGCUCAACCUGGAAACUGCCAUUGAUACUAUUAGUCUUGAAUUUUGUUGAGGUAGGCGGAAUAAGUCAUGUAGCGGUGAAAUGCAUAGAUAUGACUUAGAACACCAAUUGCGAAGGCAGCUUGCUAAACAAACAUUGACGCUGAGGCACGAAAGCGUGGGGAUCAAACAGGAUUAGAUACCCUGGUAGUCCACGCCCUAAACGAUGAUUACUCGACAUACGCGAUACACAGUGUGUGUCUGAGCGAAAGCAUUAAGUAAUCCACCUGGGAAGUACGACCGCAA